ACGAACGCUGGCGGCGCGCCUAACACAUGCAAGUCGAACGAGAGAUGAGGAGCUUGCUCUUCAAAUCGAGUGGCGAACGGGUGAGUAACGCGUGAGGAACCUGCCUCAAAGAGGGGGACAACAGUUGGAAACGACUGCUAAUACCGCAUAAGCCCACGGCUCGGCAUCGAGCAGAGGGAAAAGGAGCAAUCCGCUUUGAGAUGGCCUCGCGUCCGAUUAGCUAGUUGGUGAGGUAAUGGCCCACCAAGGCGACGAUCGGUAGCCGGACUGAGAGGUUGAACGGCCACAUUGGGACUGAGACACGGCCCAGACUCCUACGGGAGGCAGCAGUGGGGAAUAUUGCACAAUGGGGGAAACCCUGAUGCAGCGACGCCGCGUGGAGGAAGAAGGUCUUCGGAUUGUAAACUCCUGUUGUUGAGGAAGAUAAUGACGGUACUCAACAAGGAAGUGACGGCUAACUACGUGCCAGCAGCCGCGGUAAAACGUAGGUCACAAGCGUUGUCCGGAAUUACUGGGUGUAAAGGGAGCGCAGGCGGGAGAACAAGUUGGAAGUGAAAUCCAUGGGCUCAACCCAUGAACUGCUUUCAAAACUGUUUUUCUUGAGUAGUGCAGAGGUAGGCGGAAUUCCCGGUGUAGCGGUGGAAUGCGUAGAUAUCGGGAGGAACACCAGUGGCGAAGGCGGCCUACUGGGCACCAACUGACGCUGAGGCUCGAAAGUGUGGGUAGCAAACAGGAUUAGAUACCCUGGUAGUCCACACCGUAAACGAUGAUUACUAGGUGUUGGAGGAUUGACCCCUUCAGUGCCGCGGUUAACACAAUAAGUAAUCCCCUGGGGAGUACGACCGCAAGGUU
rnacentral:rRNA from 1 species